GCCCGCGAGUUCAAAUUCGACGUAGUGGCCGCACAACGCUCUACGGACGAACACUAUCAAGGUGGAACUUUUCACACAUUUUUCUUUUGCUUGCAGUAUAUAAGGAAUAUAAGGUAUCGGAAGGCAGUAUAUAAGUAUUUUUACGCAACUGUAUGUGCGUCAAAUUAACCUAAUACGCAACGGUCACACAGGUGGUCGCAUUGGAUUAUUAUUGUGAAAUGUUCUGGCAGUAGUAGAAUUUUUGGAUGUCUUGAGGAAAAUCAGCCUCGUGUUGCGUGCGUUUUCUGGCAUAAUAUGCAAAAAUUUAUCAAUUCUAUAAAAGAUUGGAAUGUAAUGAGUAUUAAUUUAAAAAUAAAUCAUUUUUAGGUUUUAA